CCCAAAGAAACAUUUUUUCCCUCAACUUUUAUUAUGAAAAUGUUCAGGUAUACUGAGAACUUGAAAGAAUUAUAUAAGGAAUACCCAUAUACCCAACACCUAGAGUCUGUGAUUAACAUUUUUGUGUAUUUAUUUUAUCACAUACAUUUUUAAUCAUGUCUUUUUAUUUUCUGUAUUCCCGAUGUUUGGGCAUCUAGGAUCUUGCCUCGCUGACCCUGGAGAGACCGCCACUCUCAGUGCUGCCCAGCUCCUGGAGACAAACCAGGAAGAAGUCUGCCGUCUUCCAGUCCAUGCCCGGGCCCACCUCGUCUUCCACCCUAGAAUGACUGACUGUGGAAACAUCUGGUUCCUUCGACCUCAUCCACCAGGUGCUCUUUAGCCUUCGGAGGUCGGCAAGGCGAGAGUACCACUUUCAAAGACAUACUUCAAAGUCUGGUUUAUGCGAUUAAAAGAACCCGGGUGUGGGUGGCCAGCAGUUCAGCCGUGGUCACGCUCUUACAAGACCCUUGUGGGACAUAACUGCAGCAUGAAGCUAAGAGAAGGUCAGAUCUGGCUCCCGACUCUUCUAAACUGAUCUGUGGGAAAACUUCUAUGUAAAGGACAUUCGAACCUCCCAACAGGAGGGGGGCAAUUUUCAGGCAUAAGACUAAAUCCAUAUUUAGGAAAAAAAUUUUAUCUGUCUCUGUCUCUGCAAGGGUAUAUUUAUGCCAAAGACAGCAAAAUGUACAUUGAUCAAUGGUGCAUUUAGUGUGUUUGUCUGAAAUACUAGCUUUCAGAUUAAUGGUGACUUAGUAUCUUUCUCUAGAACAGUAAGUAGUUAUUACGUUUAUGAGAGUAUUCUGGUGAUUUUCCUAAAGCAAAAGAAUCUGCUCCCAAGAUGAAUUAAUGUUUCCACUAACACUUUGAGAUGAUGUCUUUCCAGUAAAGAAAAAAAAAAA